rnacentral:rRNA from 1 species
CCUACGGGAGGCAGCAGUGGGGAAUAUUGCACAAUGGGCGCAAGCCUGAUGCAGCAACGCCGCGUGAGGGACGACGGCCUUCGGGUUGUAAACCUCUUUUAGUAGGGAAGAAGCGAACGUGACGGUACCUGCAGAAAAAGCACCGGCUAACUACGUGCCAGCAGCCGCGGUAAUACGUAGGGUGCAAGCGUUAUCCGGAAUUAUUGGGCGUAAAGAGCUCGUAGGCGGUUUGUCGCGUCUGCUGUGAAAACUGGAGGCUCAACCUCCAGCCUGCAGUGGGUACGGGCAGACUAGAGUGCGGUAGGGGAGAUUGGAAUUCCUGGUGUAGCGGUGGAAUGCGCAGAUAUCAGGAGGAACACCGAUGGCGAAGGCAGAUCUCUGGGCCGUAACUGACGCUGAGGAGCGAAAGCAUGGGGAGCGAACAGGAUUAGAUACCCUGGUAGUCCAUGCCGUAAACGUUGGGAACUAGAUGUAGGGACCAUUCCACGGUUUCUGUGUCCGCAGCUACGACAUACGUUACCCGUCCGUCGGGAGGUACGGCCGCGACGACGUAAACGUACGAAGUUAGUUAGUAGUUACGUUGUGAGCGCGACGACGACGACGACGGAGGAGGAG